ACAUACGACCAUACCCACUGGAGAACUCGGGAUCCCGUCCGCUCUCCCAUAGAUAAGCCAGUGAGGGCCGGAUUAGUAGUUGGAUCGGUGACGACCAGCGAAUACCUGGUGUUGUAUGUU
rnacentral:rRNA from 2 species